AAAAGAAAUAUAUUAAUGUAAUGUUAAAGAAUGAGAAGAAUGGAGUGGUUCUGGAGUUGGAGGAUAACUGCUGCUAAAGAUUACAUGAAUAAGAGCAUAAUUUACAUAAAGCGGAAGGAUUUAGAUGUAAACUGCU